AGGUUAAUACCGGAUUACUCCAAUAUUUUGUCGCAUGGCGAAUAUGGGAAAGCUCCGGCGGCAAAGGAUGGGCCCGCGGCCUGUUAGCUAGUUGGUGGGGUAGUGGCCUACCAAGGCAAUGAUGGUAGCCGGGUUGAGAGACCGACCGGCCAGAUUGGGACUGAGACACGGCCCAGACUCCUACGGGAGGCAGCAGUGGGGAAUCUUGCACAAUGGGCGAAAGCCUGAUGCAGCGACGCCGCGUGCGGGAUGAAGGCCUUCGGGUUGUAAACCGCUUUCAGCAGGGACGAGGCCGCAAGGUGACGGUACCUGCAGAAGAAGCCCCGGCUAACUACGUGCCAGCAGCCGCGGUAAAU
rnacentral:rRNA from 1 species